CUACGGGGGGCUGCAGUGGGGAAUCUUAGACAAUGGGCGCAAGCCUGAUCUAGCCAUGCCGCGUGAGUGACGAAGGCCUUAGGGUCGUAAAGCUCUUUCGCUGGGGAAGAUAAUGACGGUACCCAGUAAAGAAACCCCGGCUAACUCCGUGCCAGCAGCCGCGGUAAUACGGAGGGGGUUAGCGUUGUUCGGAAUUACUGGGCGUAAAGCGCGCGUAGGCGGAUCAGAAAGUUGGGGGUGAAAUCCCGGGGCUCAACCCCGGAACUGCCUUCAAAACUCCUGGUCUUGAGUUCGAGAGAGGUGGGUGGAAUUCCGAGUGUAGAGGUGAAAUUCGUAGAUAUUCGGAGGAACACCAGUGGCGAAGGCGGCUCACUGGCUCGAUACUGACGCUGAGGUGCGAAAGCGUGGGGAGCAAACAGGAUUAGAUACCCGCGUAGUC
rnacentral:rRNA from 1 species